rnacentral:misc_RNA from 1 species
UUCUUGAAGCUACCAUACAUACUCUCACGUGGAUCUCGGCUUGGGUGUGGAAUUGCUGUAAUUCCGACAAAGUAUUUAUCAUUGUGACAGAAUAGAUUGAAAAUGACAUUCAAAGAUCUUACCAAGGAUGGAAAGGGAUCCCCAAAGAGAAAGCAUUUGGACAUGGACAGCUCCACUGAUAGUGCUAAGAAGGAUAGGAAAAUAAAAAAGAUCAAGCGAGAGACAGAAUCGCCAGCUCAAAGGACAGCAGAGACUAAAAAAGCAACCAAGACGCCAGAUGGAAAGGAUAAGCUCUCCAAGUUUUCGGACAAGAGGAGGCCAAGUGCCAAGAAACCAGUUCCUAAGUCAAAGGAGAAUUCUGCUGGUAAGCCAGGUCAGAAGGGAGGCAAGUCAUUCCCAAAGAAGGGGAACUUCAAGAAAGAUAAGGAUAAACCUUGGAAAGGAGGACAGAAGCGCAAAGGAGGCAAGGAUGACAUAGAAAAGAGUAAACGGCUCAAAUUGGAGGAGUUGAAGAAGAAGGAGAGAAAGCAAGUCAGGAAGCAAGUGAAGAGCAACUUUGAACUAGCACAGAAAGCCAAAAAUGCUUGGGAGGUUGUGAGAAAACAUAACUGCAAACCGGAAACUAGAACCAAGCACAUAACAGAGUUAUGUGAACUUCUUGAUGGGCGAGUAUUAGAUUUAGUGAAGGCACAUGACACAGUUCGAGUGAUUCAAUGUUGUGUUCAGUUUGGGACACCUGAGCAGAGGACAAAGAUCUUUGAGGAAAUAAAAGAUCACGUUGUGGAGCUCGCCAAAUGCAAGUACGCCAAGUUCUACGUGCUGAAGAUGUUCCGCUACGGGUCGAAGGAGCAGCGACAGGCCAUAAUGCAGUCGUUCCAUGGCAAGGUCUGUCAACUGGUGAGGCACAAGGAGGCUGCAGAAGUGCUGGAGGAAGCCUACAACAACCACGCCAAUGCCAAGGAUAGGUCGGCUCUCUUGGAGGAGUUCUAUGGAGCAAGGUUUGCUGUCUUCAAGUCCUCAGAUGUACACAACCUUGAGGAAAUCCUUGAGAAAGACCCAACCCUCAGACAAGGCAUCAUGGAUCAUAUGCUUAAAACACUCACUCCUCUUCUUGAUAAGACUGUAAUCAAGCACACAAUCGUACACAAAGCCAUAUAUGAUUUCUUACUUCAUGCCCCUGAUAAAAUGAGAGCAGAGCUAAUUGAAGCUAUGAGGGAUGUUGUAGUCCAGAUUCUUCACACACAGGAUGGGGCACGGGCAGCUAUGCAUUGUCUCUGGUUUGGCUCAGCAAAGGAUCGGAAAGUGAUGAUCAAGUCUUUCAAAACCUUUGUUCUGAAGAUCUGCAAGGAAGAGUUUGGACACAAAGUACUUUUUGCACUCUUUGAUUGUGUAGAUGAUACUAAGAUUGUUAGCAAAGUCAUCAUUGAGGAAAUGAUGAAGAAUGCAUAUGAAGUAGCGACAGAUCAGUACGGACGGAAAGUCUUGCUAUACCUUUUAGCUCCAAGAGAUGCUUCUCACUUCCAUCCAGAUCUUGUAAAGCAACUACAGAAAGGGGAUGGUAACCAAAUCAGUAAAAAGGACAGUGUCGUGAGAAGAAAGGAGCUGUUGGAAGCUGUAUCUCCUGCUCUACUGAAGCUUCUCAUCACACACACCAAGGAAAUGGCUUAUAGUAAAUCAAAUAGUCAACUAGCACUGGCUAUGCUUCAACAUAUACAUGGUGAUAAGAAUGCAGUAUACAGUAUGUUGGCCACACUGGCAGCUGAGGAACUCAUUCCAAUUCUGGUCAAUGAUCCUAGUAAGAUGGAUGAUAUGCACAUUGUUGAGCAUCCGUCUGGACAUCUUCUCUUCAAAAGGCUGUUGGCUCAUGAGAAAACAGAGAGAGAAAAAGGAGAUGUGCAAAGCUCAUUAUCGAGUUGUCUGCUAGAGGAGUUAUCAGAUGAAAACAUCAAAUCUUGGCUCAGGAUAAAUAGAGGGGCCUUAGUCUUGGUCAGCCUUGCGGAUUGUGGAAAUGCAGAUGCCACAGAGAGGAUACGCACGGUGUUACAGGAAUCUCAUAAGAGCGUUGCCAAGCUUACAUCAAAUGCAGUCCAAAUUCUAAAAGAGAAGUUGGACCUCAAAACUUGAUAAUCAACAUGUGCAGUCAUUUUAUGGAAUUGUAAAGGUUUCAUGUAGAAGAUGGAUUGAUAAUCGUUUGUCUACCGAGUUCUACUUUUCCUUGAACUGAGACCUUGUGCAUGCACUUCCAGUUGGAAACAUAAUAUUAAGUUAUGGGCAGCUGGAAUAAUCAUUUUAUAGUCAUUUUAUAGUCAGCACUGCUGCUAUGUUGAUUCACUUAAUACAGGCGAGAAUGCCAGAGGCACUCCACUUCUUUCCCUCCAAAUCUUCAUAUUUUAGACAAAUUAAAAAUAAACACUUGACAAAGGCAU